rnacentral:ncRNA from 2 species
UCGCGGGGAUGUGGCGAUUUGUACACCGGAUUGCGGGCCACGUUAAACAAGCCGCUAAAGAGGGCAGGGAGCGUACCGA